GUCUUGUUCGUCUAGGGGUUAGGACACAUGGUUUUCAUCCAUGCAACAGGGGUUCGAUUCCCCUACGAGAUG
rnacentral:tRNA from 2 species